rnacentral:rRNA from 1 species
GACGAACGCUGGCGGCGUGCCUAAUACAUGCAAGUAGAACGCUGAAGGAGGAGCUUGCUUCUCCGGAUGAGUUGCGAACGGGUGAGUAACGCGUAGGUAACCUGCCUGGUAGCGGGGGAUAACUAUUGGAAACGAUAGCUAAUACCGCAUAACAGUAGAUAUUGCAUGAUAUCUGCUUGAAAGGUGCAAUUGCAUCACUACCAGAUGGACCUGCGUUGUAUUAGCUAGUUGGUGAGGUAACGGCUCACCAAGGCGACGAUACAUAGCCGACCUGAGAGGGUGAUCGGCCACACUGGGACUGAGACACGGCCCAGACUCCUACGGGAGGCAGCAGUAGGGAAUCUUCGGCAAUGGACGGAAGUCUGACCGAGGAACGCCGCGUGAGUGAAGAAGGUUUUCGGAUCGUAAAGCUCUGUUGUAAGAGAAGAACGAGUGUGUGAGUGGAAAGUUCACACUGUGACGGUAUCUUACCAGAAAGGGACGGCUAACUACGUG